CUGCCCUAGGAGGACUCAGGAGUCGCAGCAAAGAAAAACCUAACACAUUUGGGCAUAGUUAGCUGGUAGAAAAUGAGGUACCUGUACAUGUUAGAACAGCUCUGAAAUGAUACUUGACUUGCCUGGGGAAUCAGCACUGAAGAGAUAAAUACCCAAAGGUGAUGCCAUAACUCUGAAAUGUCCCAUGCACAAAGCACAUUCUCUGGAACUUUACAGAACACUCUGCUGAUUAGUCUGCUGAGCUUUCCUGCAGUGCUAGAGCCAUUUGGUGCCUACAUGAUCAUGAACGGUAUGUGUAAAGUAAGCAUGAAAAUUGCACUGUCCUUCACCUUUCCUGGUCUUCUCUGUACUUAUGAGCCUGCAGGGUAUUGCAGUUGUAGAUCAUACUCCACCUGCUCACAAGAACAGAGCAAAUACAUAGCUGCUUUGUGGUAUUUUUUUAGAUGACAUGCCUUAGCAAUAUCUUUUUAAAAGCCAAAUGUGAUUGACUUCUAUAUCCUGCAUGGUUACAGAGGACCUAUAAAACAAUUCUUCACCGUAGAAGACAUUUUAAUCGUAAAACCUUUCUGUCCAUCCCAGGUUAGGUAACGUGUUACUUAGGAAAUCUGUGUCUAACCUGAUUUUUUUUUUUAAAUGUGAUACAUCAGGCAGUGAGGAGAGCUGGACUCAGAGGUUUGCACUUACUAUAUUUUUUCUUACCACAGCAUGUAUUAUAUAAUCUCACCAAGUGGAGUUACCAAAAUAC
rnacentral:lncRNA from 1 species